rnacentral:piRNA from 1 species
UGAGCUUUCUUUGAUGAUAAAGGGGCUC